rnacentral:tRNA from 1 species
UGUGAUAGAGUUCAUUGGUAGAGUGCCUGCUUAGCAUGCAUGAGGUCCUGGGUUCAAUUCUUAGUACCACUU